rnacentral:rRNA from 1 species
UACGGGGGGAGCAAGCGUUGUUCGGAUUUACUGGGCGUAAAGGGCGCGUAGGCGGCCUGUGCAAGUCAGUUGUGAAAUCUCCGGGCUUAACCCGGAAAGGUCAGCCGAUACUGCGGGGCUAGAGUGCAGAAGGGGCAACUGGAAUUCUCGGUGUAGCGGUGAAAUGCGUAGAUAUCGAGAGGAACACCUGCGGCGAAGGCGGGUUGCUGGGCUGACACUGACGCUGAUGUGCGAAAGCUAGGGGAGCGAACGGG